rnacentral:rRNA from 1 species
AGGUUGAUAUUCCUGUACUAGAGUAUGUAGUGAUGGAGGGACGCAGUAGGCUAACUAAAGCAGACGAAUGGAAGUGUCUGUCUAAGCAGUGAGGUGUGAUAUGAGUCAAAUGCUUAUAUCUAUAACAUUGAGCUGUAAUGGGGAGCGAAGUUUAGUAGCGAAGUUAGUGACGUCACACUGCCAAGAAAAGCUUCUAGCGUUUAAACAUACUCUACCCGUACCGCAAACCGACACAGGUAGUCGAGGCGAGUAGCCUCAGGUGAGCGAGAGAACUCUCGUUAAGGAACUCGGCAAAAUGACCCCGUAACUUCGGGAGAAGGGGUGCUGACAUAUGUCAGCCGCAGUGAAUAGGCCCAAGCAACUGUUUAUCAAAAACACAGCUCUCUGCUAAAUCGUAAGAUGAUGUAUAGGGGGUGACGCCUGCCCGGUGCUGGAAGGUUAAGAGGAGUGCUUAGGAGUAAUCCGAAGGUAUGAAUUGAAGCCCCAGUAAACGGCGGCCGUAACUAUAACGGUCCUAAGGUAGCGAAAUUCCUUGUCGGGUAAGUUCCGACCCGCACGAAA